rnacentral:miRNA from 1 species
AUGGGGACACUGAGACACUUGGGGACACUGGGAGACAUGGGGACACAGACACUAGGGACACAAUGUCCCCAAGUGUCUGUCCCCUUGUCGCCCAGCUAGUGUCCCUGGUGUCUCAGUGUCCCCAUGUUUCCCAGUGCCCCUAGUGUCUCAGUGUCCAUAGU